AAAAUGCGAUAUGCAAUGUGAAUUGCAAACCACGAAUCAUCAGAUCUUUGAACGCAACUGGCGCUGAUUUCAACCAGCAUAUUUGUUUCAGUGUGCUCCAACAACUAAAAAAUUUAAAUGUGAGAGAAAUUCUCUCAUCAAAUGCAUGCUCCCUGCAGCAGUCCCAUUUCUGGGAGCUGUAAGGAGACUGAAAGCCUUAAUUGCACCUGAAAUCAAGUAAGAUGACCCGCUGGACUUAA
rnacentral:misc_RNA from 1 species